rnacentral:rRNA from 1 species
UCAAGAAACUUCCACAAUGGGCGAAAGCCUGAUGGAGCGACGUCGCGUGAUGGACGAAGUGCUCGGCACGUAAACAUCUUUUAUGUGGGAUGAAAUUAUUGACAGUACCACAUGAAUAAGGGGCUCCUAACUCUGUGCCAGCAGGAGCGGUAAUACAGAGGCCCCAAGCGUUAUCCGGAAUCACUGGGCGUAAAGGGUGUCGAGGCGGUUGUAUUAGUCGUUCGUAAAAUCUACGAGCUUAACUUGUAGGCGGCGAACGAAACGGUACGACUUGAGGUUUGGAGAGGUGCGUGGAACUCACGGUGUAGGGGUGAAAUCCGUUGAUAUCGUGGGGAACACCAAAGGCGAAGGCAGUGCACUGGUACAUUCCUGACUCUGAGAUGCGAAAGCGUGGGGAGCAAAAAGGAUUAGAUACCCGGGUAGUCCCUGAGCGGGCUGGCAAGGCGCAU